CCUUGAGGAUAACCCUGGUGCUAACAGCUACCAAUAGCUAAACACAAACCCAAUUACAUUUCCUUUUCCUGAAUGGAUGACUACUCUUCUCCUCCUAGAGACAGCAGAUAUUUGAGACUGAGCGAGUUACCAUUCUAACAACACGCUAUUAUUACAUAGAAGUUUCUACUUGACUGUCACACACCAGGGAGAAGACUCACUGCCUCUCCAGCGAUCUGGUUUACAUGCAGAAGAGUGCAACCUUCCAAGAAGUCUUUUCCUGACAACUCUCCUUUAUGAAGUUUAAAAUGGGUGAAGUUCAUCUGCCUACAAUGUUUUAGAAGAUCAAAGGCCUUCAGGACUCCGCUAGACACAGCUACAGCUGAUCUGAUCUAAUGAUAACAACAGCCCUGCUUCACAGAAGUGGUUGGACCAAAUGAUCUGGAGAGCGACCUUCCACCCACAUCUCUGAUUUCAAUAAAUCGAUGUGCUCCAUUCAA